UUUUGAUUUGUUUAACACUUUUUUUGUUUACUACAUAAUUCCAUUUGUGUUAUUUUAUAGUUUUAGAAAAUAAUCAAAAUAAAGAAAAACCCUGGAAUGAGUAGGUGUGUCCAAACUUUUGACUGGUACUGUAUACAGUCCCAGUAGCCUACAUCAGACAACCAAUAAGAGUUGUGUCCAUGGCUUUCAGCGAAUAGAGGAGUUCAUAGGCUUUCCCAGAGGGGCCGUGCUAUUUGGGAUCUUUGGGAUAUCCCUACGUCAACCAUUUUAAUUUCUACUUCAUUAAGUUUAGGUUAGGUAAGAGUUCUAGUGUAGGGUUCAGGGUAGGGACGUCCCAAGGAGAGACGGGCACGGUAUUUGAGAGCUCAGCGGCGUAUGUUGGAAAUUACAAGAUUAUGUUAUAAUACUUUUAUUGCAUCAAAUGGUUGUUUUAUGCAACAGAAUAGAGGGUUCUUAUAACUCUAUUGUGUCUGUGUGAACUGAAAGUGGGCCUCUGGGAGAUAACACUGACAGGAGAUUUAUGAUGUCUUUUGGGUGAUAAAACCUAAAGAGACCGCAUUCCAGAGCAUGAGUUAAUGUUUCUGUUCUAUAAGGUACCAGGGAGAGAUGACCCCAGGGUCAGACCCUGGUCUGUACACAAAGAGUACUGUUUUUACAGCAGAUACUGUCUGCUGUGAAUUAUAAGUAUCUUUCAUACAAAUCUUAACCUUGUGACCCAUUCCAUACAUCUGUUGUUCGUCAUGUAGACUGAAAGGGGUGUAUCUUGGCUAUAAAAGACCUUUGUACUUUUGUCUCGGGGCUCUCAUGUCACGUCCUGACCAGUAAAACGGGUUAUUUGUUAUUGUAGUUUGGUCAGGGCGUGGCAGGGGGUGUUUUGGGGUUUUAUUCUAUGUCCUUUUUUCUAUGUUUUGUAUUUCUUUGUUUUGGCCUGGUAUGGCUCUCAAUCAGGGACAGCUGUACUUCGUUGUCGCUGAUUGGGAGCCAUACUUAGGUAGCCUGUUUUCCUUUGGGUUUUGUGGGUGGUUAAUUUCUGUUUAGUAUUGUUACCUGACAGAACUGUUUUGGCUGUCAUUCGUUUCUUGUUUUGUUUAAAGUGUUCCAUUAAAAUAUUAUGAUGAGCACUAACCACGCUGCGCCUUGGUCUACUCCAAUCAACAGCCGUUACAUCUCAACAAAUCAUCUGAGGGUGAUUCGUCAACCAACCAUCAUUAUCGUAGAGCACUCAAUUGAUUCACUUUAUAUGUGUGUGCUGUAUUGACCUGCUCCCUUAUUAAUAAGUGGGCCACUAUGCACGGAACGGGUUCUACAUGGAACCAAAAAGGGUUCUCCUAUGGGGAGCAUGAAGAAUCCUUUUAGGUUGUAUCUCAACAAUGUUCUAAAUCCUAUUUGUUUUAUUUUCUAUGAACAAAGGCUCAGCUUAGUUCAGGUGGUUAUAGUAAAUGUUGGAUGUCUUGAUAAAAUGUGUUAGUGUUAAUAUUUGUAUGAAAAUAGCAUUUAACAGUUCGCUAGCUUGAUGCUUUGCAAAGUUAGAUCUCUUUUCACACAACAGCAGCAUCCAGGCCUCCAGAGUACUCACCCUAUCACCUUCUGUAGGGACGGGAGCCGCAGCUGUUUACUGAGGUAAACAAUGCAAUUGUAUAUACAAUUAUUGCAUAUACUGUAGUAUUAAACAUUUGUGAUUGACUUAGUGUUGUCUAUUGCUAUUUUUGUAUAAUGUACUUUGAGAUCACUGAAACGCCUCCUGAUGUCGUGGAAGUUGUCGAACCAGAUCAGAACGCUUUCGAGGACCACCUUCAGGCAUGGGCUGAGAAGGAUUUGGAGGAAUUUGACCAGGAAAAAUGAUUGUCCGCUGUUAAUUUAUUUUCAGGCCCUCCAAGAGAUAUGUAACAGAUGUAUUUGUAAUAAGAUGAAAUAUAAUUGUAUUUAUUUCUAUUGUCAAUGAAGGUGAGCCUGAACAUGGACAAGGUUCAGGAGAAACAUAAGGAAAACCACCAGAGGAGAAUCAAGAAGGGGACCAAGUGCUUCGACAUCCGGUCAAAUUACUUGGCUUGGAAGAAGGAUGAAAGGAAGUCGAGACCUUGCUGCUCUUUCGCUCCUAGCUGGGGCCACGAUCCGUUCAGGGACCAUCCCUCACCUCCCUCAUCAACCCCACUGACAUAAAAAAAAUACAGACAGGACCUAGGGGUACUGCCUAACACCCAGAUGUGGAUCUACCUGAUGUCCUCCAUUACCAACCACCCUCCAACUUUUCAUUACAUCAUCUACAGCUACUGUUACUGUCAUGUUGUCAUUAUCUGCUAAGAAAGAGCAAGAAAACUAUCAUACUGGGAACAUAAUGUGAGAUACAAUGAUUAUCUAAAAACACUAGCACUCAGAACAAAGAGAGCAGCAGUGCAUGGACUUCAGUCUCCCUCUUCCAGUCCCCCUUCCGAGACUGACUGUUUGUUGAGAACAGUGACAGACAGAACCUCCCAACCACAUAGCACCCACCUCCUCUCUAUUCCACACACCAGAAUUCAGUAUUUCAGUCUAUGAUUGCCAUGUGAGGACAAAAAAAGCUAAGUUUUAAAUAUAUAAUCGUAAAUAUUGCCAGGUUGGUUUUCAUAGCUUGUUCAUUGUUGAAAAUAUUAAUGUAUCCCUUGAUGAUAUUUGUUAGGUCAACAUUAUUCAUUGUUGUAUCAUAGGACCUAUAAUAGAUAAACAUUCAACCACAAUGAGCUAUAUAAACUCAGCAAAAAAAUAAACGUCCUCUCACUCUCAACUGCGUUUAUUUUCAGCAAACUUAACGUGUAAAUAUUUGUAUGAACAUAACAAGAUUCAACAACUGAGACAUAAACUGAACAAGUUCCACAGACAUGUGACUAAUAGAACUGGAACAAUGUGUCCCUGAACAAAGGGGGGUUCAAAAUCAAAAGUAACAGUCAGUAUCUGGUCUGGCCACCAGCUGCAUUAAGUACUGCAGUGCAUCUCCUCCUCGUGGACUGCACCAGAUUUGCCAGUUCUUGCUGUGAGAUGUUACCCCACUCUUCCACCAAGGCACCUGCAAGUUCCCUGACAUUUCUGGAGGGAAUGGCCCUAGCCCCCACCCUCUGAUCAUACAGGUCCCAGACGUGCUCAAUGGGAUUGAGAUCCGGGCUCAUCGCUGGCCAUGGUAGAACACUGACAUUCCUGUCUUGCAGGAAAUCACACACAGAACGAGCAGUAUGGCUAGUGUCAUUGUCAUGCUGGAGGGUCAUGUCAGGAUGAGCCUGCAGGAAGGAUACCACAUGAGGGAGGAGAAUGUCUUCCUUGUAACGCACAGCGUUGAGAAUUCCUGCAAUGACAACAAGCUCAGUCUGAUGAUGCUGUGACACACCACCCCAGACCAUGAUGGACCCUCCACAUCGAUCCCGCUCCAGAGUACAGGCCUCGGUGUAAAGCUCAUUCCUUCAACGUGAACGCAAUUCCGACCAUCACGCCUGGUGAGACAAAACUGCAACUCGUCAGUGAAGAGCACUUUUAGCCAGUCCUGUCUGGUCCAGCGACGGUGGGUUUGUGCCCAUAGGCAACGUUGUUGCCGGGGAUGUCUGGUGAGCCCUCAGUCCAGCCUCUCUCAGCCUAUUGCGGACAGUCUGAGCACUGAUGGAGGGAUUGUGCAUUCCUGGUGUAACUCGGGCAGUUGUUGUUGCCAUCCUGUACCUGUCCCGCAGGUGUGAUGUUCUGAUGUACCGAUCCUGUGCAGGUGUUGUUACACGUGGUCUGCCACUGCGAGGACAAUCAGCUGUCCGCCCUGUCUCCCUGUAGUGCUGUCUUAGGCGACUCACAGUACGGACAUUGUGUAAAUCAGCUAGAAAGAUGUGUCGGCAUCAAGUAAUUGUCUCUGGCCCCCUCCCAGUUAGGGGGAGUGAUGAGCUCUACAGCAGAGUCUCAAAACUCAAUCACUGGUUGAAAACUGUUUUCUGCCCCUACCAAAAGAUAGAAUUUGUAGAUAAUUGGUCCUCUUUCUGGGACUCACCCACAAACAGGACCAAGCCUGGCCUGUUGAUGAGUGACUGACUCCAUCCUAGCUGGAGGGGUGCUCUCAUCUUAUCUAAGAACAUAGACAGGGCUCUAACUUCCCUAGCUCCACAAUGAGAUAGGGUGCAGGCCAGGCAGCAGGCUGUUAGCCAGCCUGCCAGCCUGCCAGCUUAGUGGAGCCUGCCACUAGCACAGUCAGUGUAGUCAGUUCAGCAAUCCCCAUUGAGACCGUGUCUGUGCCUCGAUCUACGAUGGGCAAAACAAAAAAUGGCGGUGGUUGGUUUAGCAAUCUCACCGGUAUAAAGACCUCCUCC
rnacentral:lncRNA from 1 species